rnacentral:lncRNA from 1 species
UGAGAUAUCCCUAUUCUAACCACAGUGAAAGCAGCGUCAGAUUCUGCAACCAGUUCAGAGACUUAACCCAGAGCCUCCUACCUCCUCUGUGCCCUGUCUCUUGCUCCUGCUCUCCAACAGUUACUACAUGCACUGUCUGCAGGAUUUCCCACUUUGUAGGAUCUGACUUCUAUCUAGCAGAGACCAGCUGGUGGCAGAAGAAUGCAAUCAAUGGUUUCCAAACUGUCAUUGCUGCUCCUAUCUUUCACGUGGUGGAGGUCUGCCUGCUACCCCAUUAACAUGCACAUGCCUGGGGGACGUCUUCUCUGACGCUCUGGUGUUUUUCCAAUCAAAUGUUAUUUAUUCAGCUGAGAAAGGGA